rnacentral:rRNA from 1 species
CACGUAGGGCGCGAGCGUUGUCCGGAAUUAUUGGGCGUAAAGAGCUCGUAGGCGGCCUGUUGCGUCCGCUGUGAAAGCCCGGGGCUUAACCCCGGGUCUGCAGUGGAUACGGGCAGGCUAGAGGUAGGUAGGGGAGAAUGGAAUUCCCGGUGUAGCGGUGAAAUGCGCAGAUAUCGGGAGGAACACCGGUGGCGAAGGCGGCUCUCUGGACCGAUACUGACGCUGAGGCGCGAAAGCGUGGGGAGCAAACAGG